AUAAAAUCACACAAAAUUAAUAAAACUAAAAAGGACUUAUUUUAGCAAUUUUCUAAUUUGUGCUAUUUCUUAUUUUGCUUGUCAGAUUUUACUCUACAAUCUGGCAACACUAACUUUGCUCCCAGAUUAUUUGAAUUUAAUUUACAACGUUUACUUUGAGUAUGUUUUUAACGAUAUUGUGUACUUGUGUUUAAAUUGUUUUUUUUUACGUUAAAACGGAAUAUGGAUGUGAAAUAGUAUCACGAUUAGACAAUAAAAUGACAACCUAAAAAGGUAUCUCCACAAGCGUUUAUCGGAUCUCGAUGAAAUUUGGAACGUAGUCUGGUAAAACAUAUAGGCUACUAAAUAUGUUUUUCCAAUCCUAUACGGACGUAUUGAAGGCGACAUCUAGUAUAUAAUGAAGACAUUUUCGUGAAGAAGUGGCGCCAAACGAGUUAUUUGUGACCCUAAUAGAGGGGUUGGAGGCGGGCCGAUCGAUGCUCCCACGUGCUCUGAUGCAAUCUCCACAGAUUAUAACAUAAACAUAUUAAGAAAAAAUUCUUAACUGCCAGUAAGAACUU